GGUGAGGAGGAAUUCAGGUUUGGGAAUAAACCCAACGGGCUGCACCCGGGGCCUGACAAUCGCGGUGAAUUUUUGGCGGGGACAAGCAGUCCUUUUAGGAGAAAUCUAGGUGAUGAAUCCAGAGCAGGAAAAUAUAUGAGGAUUGCAGGUGAUAGUGUAGGUGUUGUCAAUAAGCAUCUUGAAGUGGACCAGAAUAAACUAAAGAAGGCGUUUUUGCAUUUCACUAAGGUGAUUAAUGAGACUGAGGCGGAGAGAAA
rnacentral:misc_RNA from 1 species